GCAAUGCGAUGACAGGCGAAGUUUCUGUUCUUGUUAUCGGAAGAAAAGUCCGACCUAUGCACAGAAAGAUUCAGACUCGCCCUCGUCUCUUUCCUCCCUCCUCAGGUCAACAUAAUGGCACUUCUGGUUCAACAAGGAUGUGCGGCUGCGUUAGAGGAAGAAGACAAGUUUCCUAAAGACACGAAUGAGGAGGUGAAUAAAGAGAUUUUGACAAUGGCUCAUUCCGCGAUCUUGUUGUCAGUUACUGAUGAGGUGUUACGGGAGGUUGUAGAUCAGACAACGAGUUUUGAGCUAUGGAUAAACUGUGUGAGAAGUACCAAAACAACUCUCUCACGAACAGACUAUAUCAGAAGAAACCUCUUUACACCCUCCGGAUGUCCGAAAGUACUCAGGUAAAGGAUUAUUUUGAUAUCUUUAACCGUAUUAUUUUUUAUCUUCAAGGGGUUGAUAUUAAAGUAGAUGAUAAAGAUCAAACCCUAAUUUUACCGUGUUCACUGUCUGGUUCAUGUGAGAAUUUUGUAGAUACUAUGUUAUAUGGUAGAACUACAAUUUCUGUUAAUGAUGUGGAAAAUGUCUUUAUGUCUAAAGAAUUGAAAAGAAAGAUUUCUCUGGAAGAGGGAUUAGUUCAGGUCUUAGAGGAAGACCACAUGAGAGGGGUAAUGAGAAUGAGAGGUCGCAUUCAAAAUCAAAAUCUUCUAGCAAAGUUAAGUGUUAUCUUUGCAAGUAGAAGGGACAAAUUAAAAAGGAUUGUGUACAGAAUAAGGGAAAUAUAUAAGUUGAUUCUAGUAACAGUGGCAGCAGUGCUGUUGUGGUACAAGACAGUUCUGAUGAUGGGACUUUGGUGAAGUUCUGACAGCGUGUAGUGCUAGUACUGCUGAUUCCUGGAUUAUGGAUACCGGUGCUUCUCACCAUAUGCCGUUCUCUCGUGAUCAACUCAUUUUUUUAAGGAGUGGAAUGGAACGGUGAUGUUAGGUGAUGAUGGGGUUCUAGCCAUAAAGGGGAGCGGGAUA